rnacentral:rRNA from 1 species
UACAGAGGGUUCGAGCGUUAAUCGGAAUUACUGGGCGUAAAGCGCGCGUAGGCGGCUUUGCAAGUCGAGUGUGAAAUCCCCAGGCUUAACCUGGGAACUGCAUUCGAGACUGCAUGGCUAGAGUAUGGGAGAGGGAAGUGGAAUUUCAGGUGUAGCGGUGAAAUGCGUAGAUAUCUGAAGGAACAUCAGUGGCGAAAGCGACUUCCUGGACCAAUACUGACGCUCAUGUGCGAAAGCGUGGGGAGCAAACAGG